GACGAACGCUGGCGGCGUGCUUAACACAUGCAAGUCGAACGGAAAGGCCCUGCUUUUGUGGGGUGCUCGAGUGGCGAACGGGUGAGUAACACGUGAGUAACCUGCCCUUGACUUUGGGAUAACUUCAGGAAACUGGGGCUAAUACCGGAUAGGAGCUCCUGCUGCAUGGUGGGGGUUGGAAAGUUUCGGCGGUUGGGGAUGGACUCGCGGCUUAUCAGCUUGUUGGUGGGGUAGUGGCUUACCAAGGCUUUGACGGGUAGCCGGCCUGAGAGGGUGACCGGCCACAUUGGGACUGAGAUACGGCCCAGACGCCUACGGGAGGCAGGAGGGGGGAAUAUUGCACAAUGGGCGGAAGCCUGAUGCAGCAACGCCGCGUGCGGGAUGACGGCCUUCGGGUUGUAAACCGCUUUCGCCUGUGACGAAGCGUGAGUGACGGUAAUGGGUAAAGAAGCACCGGCUAACUACGUG
rnacentral:rRNA from 1 species